CAGAGAGUUCACACCAAGAUGAGAAUCAGACACCUGCGGAGGUAGGAGAAGGAGUGAAGGGAGCAGAGGAGGACUUGGCCUGGGUCAGCAGACUUGAGAUGCUAGAGAAGUUGUAGGGAGGAGGUGGUGGGGAUGCAAGAGGAGGUGAAGUACAGGAGGAGGUGAGGAGGUACAGGAGGAGGUGAGAGAGUACAGGAGGAGAUGGGGGUAUAGGAGGAGGUGGGGGAGCAGGAGGAGGUGAGGGGGUACAGGAGGUGAGGGGUGCAGGAGGAGGUAAGGGGGUACAGGAGAUGAGGGGGUACAGGAGGUGAGGGGGGUACAGGAGGAGAUGGGGGUGCAGGAGGAGGUGAGGAGGGUGCAGGAAGAGGUGAGGGGGUAUAGGAGGAGGUGAGGGGGUAUAGGAGGAGGUGAGGGGUGCACAAGGAGGUGAGGGGGUACAGGAGGAGAUGGGAGUGCAGGAGGAGAUGGGAGUGCAGGAGGAGGUGAGGGGGUACAGGAGGAGGUGAGGGGGGUACAGGAGGAGGUGAGGGGGUACAGGAGGAGGUGAGGGGGUACAGGAGGAGGUGAGGGGGUACAGGAGGUGAGGGGGUGCACAAGGAGGUGAGGGGGUACAGGAGGAGAUGGGAGUGCAAGAGGAGGUGAGGGGGUACAGGAGGAGGUGGGGGGGUACAGGAGGAGGUGAGGGGGUACAGGAGGUGAGGGGGUACACAAGGAGGUGAGGGGGUACAGGAGGAGGUGAGGGGGUACAGGAGGUAGUGAGGGGGUACAGGAGGUAGUGAGGGGGUACAGGAGGUGGUGAGGGGGUACAGGAGGUGGUGAGGGGGUACAGGAGGAGAUGAGGGGUACAGGAGGAAUUGAGGGGGUACAGGAGUAAGUGAAGGGGUCACAGAAGGUGAGGGGGUGCAGAAGGUGAGACGGAGUCUCCCUCUGUCGCCCAGG
rnacentral:lncRNA from 10 species